GUUAUUCCUUCUUCAUUUUUUUCAAUAGAGAUACUCAUCGCACAAACUCACAAGUUCUUAACUCUUGAUGACUUCUUUUUAUAACACAAUUUCUCUCGAUCUCGAAAUCUACCUGGACAAUUUUGCUUUCUGGCUAUUAACUAAUUCAUUAUUUCUAGGGUGGCCUAGCGCUGCUGGAAAGCGUGGAUUCGAUUAUGAGUGGAUUAACGAUGCCACUGAUGUUUAUUCGAGUUAGUUGCAAUGCUUUAUGUGUAUCAGAGCCAUGAUUUUAUUUUGGAAUAUUGUCACUGAAGAGAACGUGUGUUCCAACAGAAUCGAUGCCCAAUGACAAAUUAUACCGUUAAUUACGUUUGUCAGUUCAAAAACAACGCGGCAUUGUUAAUAUUGCAAACGCCAUUCGACAUGUCCAUCCCUCACAUUGGGACCGCGUGUUUGGAAAGUAAAAUGCCACCACAUGGGACUGAGUGCUACAGCAAGGGGUGGUGCCAAAAGAACUUUAAUAAGGACGAGUAUGCUGUCAUGUUGAAAAAAAUAUCUAUCACUAUUGGACAAGUCUGUAUGUGAAAGGGCCUUCCUACCUAUUGUAGGAUCUGCCUAUAAUAUGGACGACCCCCUGACGUGCGCAGGAGGAGUUAUCGGUUUAAGUAAUUGUAAGGAAGAUGGUGGCUCACCCCUCAUAUGUCCUAUACCCUCGUCUGAAGGCACUCGCUUCGCUGUGGUGGGAUUGGUCGUUCUGGGAUACAGAUGUGGUGGUAUGGUAUUCCAGUCGCCUUCACGAAUGUACCACAGGUGUACAACUGGGUCGACGCUAUUAUGAAGACCUACAAUUACGAUACCACCUCGUUCGAAUACUAAACUAAAAUAUAUCUUUACUAAAUUAACGACUCGACAUUCGAGGUUGGAUGAGAAUGUUGCAGAUACCAUGGACAGCAAAAUUAAUAAAUCCAUUUUCAACCAACUCUAAAUCACCACUAGACUGUCAACUAUCAUUUACAAAUGCUUAGGCCAAAUUGCCAGGAGAAAACGGAAUAAUCUCGAACUGUUAAUGGUAGGGAGGGGUGAUGGCAGAAGUCGGGGUCUCACCUAAUUAGGACAAUUAUGAUGCCCUUAUGCCAGAGCUGAGGAUGGAGUUGUGUGGAGGCA